rnacentral:rRNA from 1 species
UCCGAGCGNUAUCNGGAUUUAUUGGGUUUAAAAGGGAGCGUAGGCGGAGGAUCAAGUCAGCUGUGAAAUGUAGUCGCUCAACGUCUGCCACUGCCAGUUGAAACUGGUUCCCUUGAGUGCGUAAGAGGCAGGCGGAAUUCGUCGUGUAGCGGUGAAAUGCUUAGAUAUGACGAAGAACUCCGAUCGCGAAGGCAGCUUGCCGGGCCGCAACUGAACGCUGAAGCUCGAAGGUGCGGGUAUCGAACCAGGAUUAGAUACCCCUGGUAGUCCGACACAGUAAACGAUGGAUACUCGCUGUCGGCGAUAUACGGUCGGUGGCCAAGCGAAAGCGUUAAGUAUCCCACCUGGGGAGUACGCCGGCAACGGUGA